rnacentral:rRNA from 1 species
AUUGAACGCUGGCGGCAGGCCUAACACAUGCAAGUCGAGCGGUAGCAGGCCUUCGGGCGCUGACGAGCGGCGGACGGGUGAGGAACACGUAGGAAUCUGCCUCGUAGUGGGGGAUAGCCCAGAGAAAUUUGGAGUAAUACCGCAUAUGCCCUGAGGGGGAAAGUGGGGGACCGUAAGGCCUCACGCUAUGAGAGGAGCCUGCGUCGGGUUAGCUAGUUGGUGAGGUAAGAGCUCACCAAGGCGACGAUCCGUAGCUGGUCUGAGAGGAUGAUCAGCCACACUGGGACUGAGACACGGCCCAGACUCCUACGGGAGGCAGCAGUGGGGAAUAUUGGACAAUGGGCGAAAGCCUGAUCCAGCCAUGCCGCGUGUGUGAAGAAGGCCUUCGGGUUGUAAAGCACUUUAAGUGGGGAGGAAAAGCGGUACGUGAAUAUCGUGCUGCCGUGACGUUACCCACAGAAUAAGCACCGGCAAACUCCGUGCCAGCAGCCGCCGUAAUAC